rnacentral:rRNA from 1 species
UACGUAGGGUGCAAGCGUUGUCCGGAAUUAUUGGGCGUAAAGAGCUCGUAGGCGGUCUGUCGCGUCUGCUGUGAAAACCUAGGGCUUAACUCUGGGCGUGCAGUGGGUACGGGCAGGCUAGAGUGCGGUAGGGGAGACUGGAAUUCCUGGUGUAGCGGUGAAAUGCGCAGAUAUCGGGAAGAACACCCGUGGCGAAGGCGGCUCUCUGGGACGGUACUGACGCUGAGACGCGAAAGCGUGGGGAGCGAACAGG